CAACGAAUAUUCCGCAAUGAGCGCAAGCUUGACGGAGCAAUGCCGCGUGAAGGAUGAAGCGCUUCGGCGUGUAAACUUCUGUCAGGUUCCAGGACAUCCGACCAGAACCAAAGGAAGGGCCGGCUAACUUCGUGCCAGCAGCCGCGGUAAUACGAAGGGCCCGAGCGUUAAUCGGAAUCACUGGGCUUAAAGGGAGCGUAGGCCGAUCUGUAAGUGCGUUGUGAAAGCCCGGGGCUCAACCCCGGAAUUGCUUCGCAGACUGCAGGUCUUGAGGUCGGUAGAGGUCGUCGGAACUGUAGGUGGAGCGGUGAAAUGCGUAGAUAUCUACAGGAACGCCAAAGGUGAAGACAGACGACUGGGCCGAUUCUGACGCUGAGGCUCGAAAGCGUGGGUAGCGAACAGGAUUAGAUACCCCCGUAGUCC
rnacentral:rRNA from 1 species